rnacentral:sRNA from 1 species
AAAAAGGACAAAAGCCAAGUCCUCAGUUUCCAAGAAGCCGGGAAAAGUGGAUGACAGUUUGGAGCAGCCCUGUGGUUUGGGCUGCUUAGUCAGCACCUGCUGUGAGUGUUGCAAUAACAUUCGCUGCUUCAUGAUUUUCUACUGCAUCCUGCUCAUAUGUCAAGGUGUGGUGUUUGGUCUUAUAGAUGUCAGCAUUGGCGAUUUUCAGAAGGAAUAUCAACUGAAAACCAUUGAGAAGUUGGCAUUGGAAAAGAGUAUUGCAGAAUGUACAUUAAUGAUUGGAUAUGCUCUGGGUUAUGUGCUAGGAGCACCACUAGUUAAAGUCCCUGAGAAUACUACUUCUGCAACAAACACUACAGUCAAUAACGGUAGUCCAGAAUGGCUAUGGACUUGGUGGAUUAAUUUUCUUUUUGCCGCUGUCGUUGCAUGGUGUACAUUAAUACCAUUGUCAUGCUUUCCAAACAAUAUGCCAGGUUCAACACGGAUAAAAGCUAGGAAACGUAAACAGCUUCAUUUUUUUGACAGCAGACUUAAAGAUCUGAAACUUGGAACUAGUAUCAAGGAUUUAUGUGCUGCUCUUUGGAUUCUGAUGAAGAAUCCAGUGUUCAUAUGCCUAGCUCUGUCAAAAGCUACAGAAUAUUUAGUUAUUAUUGGAGCUUCUGAAUUUUUGCCUAUAUAUUUAGAAAAUCAGUUUAUAUUAACACCCACUGUGGCAACUACACUUGCAGGACUUGUUUUAAUUCCUGGAGGUGCACUUGGCCAGCUUCUGGGAGGUGUCAUUGUUUCCACAUUAGAAAUGUCUUGUAAAGCCCUUAUGAGAUUUAUAA